rnacentral:rRNA from 1 species
UACGAAGGGGGCUAGCGUUGCUCGGAAUGACUGGGCGUAAAGGGCGCGUAGGCGGAUGACACAGUCAGAUGUGAAAUUCCCGGGCUUAACCUGGGGGCUGCAUUUGAUACGUGUUGUCUAGAGUGAGGAAGAGGGUUGUGGAAUUCCCAGUGUAGGAGGUGAAAUUCGUAGAUAUUGGGAAGAACACCGGUGGCGAAGGCGGCAACCUGGUCCUUGACUGACGCUGAGGCGCGAAAAGCGUGGGGAGCAAACAGG